UAACCCAAGAACAUUUGGCGCCAGGGGGGACCUGGAUAAAAAACAAGCCCCAAGACAUUCAUUGAUAUCUGCAAAGGGCCCCCACUUGGAAUGGGUACUGUAAGAGGUCCUACAGAAAAAUGUAUUUGAACUAAAAGAAAAGAAAAGAAAAGAAAAGAAAAGAAAAGAAAAGAAAAGAAAAGCAGCCCAGUUGUGCAGACAACUUAUUCCCCCAGCCCAGACCACAAAAGGGAAUGCUAGGGAGGGGUGAGCCAGUCAACCUGCUGACUAUUUUGAAACAAAGAGUUAGGAUGGUAUAAAAACCUCAGGGAGCUUGGAGCUUGUCUCUUUCAACCGAAACGCUCUUGAAUUGCUGCUGGACUCCAAGAGGAGGUAUGCGCCCUGUUUUUAACCCUGAAAAUAGAUAUUCUAUAAUGCCAUUCUUUGGCCAUGCCAUCUUAGUAAAUAAUGGUGCCUGGCUUUAUUGCAGUGUGAUCUGUUUAGCAUGGAACCAGGAACUUUAAGCUGCAUUUCACCACCAGGCCAAGUACAGUCAAAACACAAGAGGGUAAACAAGCUCAAAAGAAAAAGGAAAGAGACAGCUGAAAAGGAAAAUUCACCAGCAUCAAUGACUGAUUGAUGGAUGAAGCCCAGCACGGGCAGCUUUCCUGACAAUGCUGUAGUCGAAGCUACAGGGACACCUCCACCAGAACCGCCAAAGAACCAGGAAUCUGCUUUGAGACCUUUAACAACGCUAACACAAAACAGCACAAGCAGGAGCGCCGCCAGCUUUUCUGCCGCCCUAGACGGCGGAAGGUCCCACCCCAAAAUGCCACUCCCCGACAGAGGCGGCAGAAGGUCCCGCCGCUGAAAUACCGCCACGGUCACCGCCCCCCAAAUUGUAGCGCCCUAGGCGACCACCUAGGUCGCCUAAUGGGUUGUGCCGGCCCUGAGCACUGAAGCAUGAGGGCAGUCCAAACCUCAUGUACGUCAAACCCAAGGACAAAACAAAAGAUUCUGGUAAAGACCAACCAUGCAAACACAACUCCAGUUCCUCAGCGGCCACCACCACACCAAGCCUUGAGAAAACUGAGCAAAAACGCUCACAUUCACAAACCCGGAGCACGCGCUCUAGGGGUUGUGAACGUGAGCAAAAAUACACACAUUCACAAACCUGGAGCACGCGCUCUAGGGGUUGUGAAUAAAAAACCAAGGACUGACAGACCAUUCUCCCAACACCAUAAGCUCGUCACAGCUCCCCCAUAUUCUAGUAUUUGGGAAAAGUAUGAUGCUUCAUUCAAAAAACUGAUGAAGAUUUGGGGAAAAUAUGAGGCUUUGUUCAGAAUACUGGUGGCUGCUAUAUCCUCAGGGGUCUAAAAGAAAGGAGAGCUGGAAACCACGUCAAAAAUGCAAAAGCUCUGGCGGGUGACUUUUUGAAAAAUACUUCAAUUUUUCCAAAAGGUAGCUCUGAGCAGGCGUGACUAGCCGUGGAAAGGGGCCUGGGUAAAAAGGGCACCCUCAAGGGUACACAUCAGCUCAGGUGUAAACAAAAGGGGGGACAGCUCUUGGUGGACAAACAAAUGGCGGCCAAAAAGUUCCAGGCCAGGGUCUCAGUAAAAAUUUUAAAAAAGGCUAAAGAGGUAAUGAGGAAAAAAAAACAAAAAGAGAUGCCCCCUACUGGAGGCUCUCAAACUGGCUUGUCUGAAAAUGGGGAGGUGGAAUCCGACUCUCACGCAGAGUCUGAUUUAGAAAAUUCCCCAGAGGGCUCUCUAGAAGGUCCCCGUCUCCUCCUGAUGACCCUCACGGAGGCCCCUCGGAGUCUGACUCUCAAAUAGCAUCUGAUGUAGAAGAUGCCGCUGAUGGUCCCAUAGAGGAACCCCCAAGUAACCCUGAAAAUGCAGAGGUGUAUAUGGAGCGAGUGAGAAGUUGACAACGUGAAUUACCUAGAUUUGG